CCUGUUAGAAGAUAUUUUUUUGAAAGAUAGCACAGUUAUGGCCAGAUACAAUUAAAAUGCUGCUUCCUUUACAAGAUGAGGGGAGAAAAAAAAACAAAACAUAGCAGCAGACAAAAUGAAGAGCUGCACAAAAGUGAUUAUGCUAUCCAACAAUUUCUGAAAGAGAUACCUAACUAACAUGUGUCUCACAAUCAUGAGAAGAAUUUAGCCAUUGAAUGGAAUAGGAAUAACCAGAGCCAUGAGGUAUAAAGUUACUGGCAAUUGCUUUAGAGAAGAAAAGGAACCAAAGGACUCCAUGCUUUACACAGCAGUAAGUAUUAUACAGUAGAACAAAGGAAGAACUUCCCCAGAGUGUCCUAUAAACAAAACUCAAAAUCCUACAAUACAGUUUCAGUUCCAGUUUCACUUACGAAUUCUAUUAAAACAUUACUUAGCAACAACUGAAAACAUCAGUGUUAUCAACAUUCUUCUCAUACCUAACUCAAAAACAUAGCAUUGUACCAGCUACUAGGAAGACAAUUAAGUCUAUCCCAGCUGAAACCAGGACAAUAAUUUAAAAAUAUAAACUUUCUUUUAGAAGAAAAAUUAAUAAAAUUUAGAUUAUUAUAAAACACCGGGACAAAAAUCACUGUAUGUAUUACUUGUCUGUAGCUGGAUGUAAAGGCUCCUAGGUAAGCUACAAUUCCCGAUGAAAUAAGUAUAUCUCCAGUCAAAUUGAUGUACUGCCUUCCCAGCUCCAAAGCAGUCUCAUGCCAGCGAGUUUUCUCACCCCCAAGG